AAGACUAUAGACCUGCGGAGUACCUGCGGAAGGAUCAUUAAAGAGAAAACUGCCCUUUGGGUAGAUUUCCCACCCUUUGUUUACUUUACCUUUGUUGCUUUGGCAGGCCCGUCUUCUGACCACCGGCUUCUAGCUGGUCCGUGCCUGCCAGAGGACCCCCAACUCUUGAUUUUAAGUUGUCCGAGUCUUAUAUAAUAGUAAAAACUUUCAACAACGGAUCUCUAGAUCGGAAGAGCACAC
rnacentral:misc_RNA from 1 species